rnacentral:rRNA from 1 species
UACGUAGGGUGCAGGCGUUAAUCGGAAUUACUGGGCGUAAAGCGUGCGCAGGCGGUUUCUUAAGUCAGAUGUGAAAGCCCCGGGCUUAACCUGGGAACUGCGUUUGAAACUGGGAGACUUGAGUGUGGCAGAGGGGGGUGGAAUUCCACGUAUAGCAGUGAAAUGCGUAGAUAUGUGGAGGAACACCGAUGGCGAAGGCAGCCCCCUGGGUUAACACUGACGCUCAUGCACGAAAGCGUGGGGAGCAAACAGG